rnacentral:rRNA from 1 species
UUGAACGCUGGCGGCAGGCCUAACACAUGCAAGUCGAACGGUAACAGGAAGCAGCUUGCUGCUUCGCUGACGAGUGGCGGACGGGUGAGUAAUGUCUGGGAAGCUGCCUGAUGGAGGGGGAUAACUACUGGAAACGGUAGCUAAUACCGCAUAAUGUCGCAAGACCAAAGAGGGGGACCUUCGGGCCUCUUGCCAUCGGAUGUGCCCAGAUGGGAUUAGCUUGUUGGUGGGGUAACGGCUCACCAAGGCGACGAUCCCUAGCUGGUCUGAGAGGAUGACCAGCCACACUGGGACUGAGACACGGUCCCGACUCCUACGGGAGGCAGCAGUGGGGAAUAUUGCACAAUGGGCGCAAGCCUGAUGCAGCCAUGCCGCGUGUAUGAAGAAGGCCUUCGGGUUGUAAAGUACUUUCAGCGGGGAGGAAGGGAGUAAAGUUAAUACCUUUGCUCAUUGACGUUACCCGCAGAAGAAGCACCGGCUAACUCCGUG